rnacentral:lncRNA from 1 species
CCUUUUUCUUAGCCAGUAUGGUGGAUAUCGUUGACUUGAGAUUUGUAGUAAACUGAGGCAGAUCGGCCGCGUGACCAGGAACCACGCGCUCAGUCGACCCGAACGUGUACCAACGAAUAUCGGAUGUCGAGUUUUUUAUAAAAUUUAUAUCGUAACUCAAAAUUAUCGUAAGUAGGGGCAAUCGUAUGUCGAGGUGCCACUGUACUGUCAAAAGAAGAUUAGCUAUAAAUUAUAAUAUUCGUGAUACUAGGCUAAUCAGCCAAGAUAUCACUAUACAGUUUGAGCACAUCAUACACCAGCCUCAGUAUGAUCAUACUGGUGUAUGUGUGGUCAUAAGUCAUCUGCUAUCUGCACCUUGUGUGAAGGAGCCAGGUUUUGGCUCUGGUCUGUGGUAAGCCAUAUAAACUCGUGCAACUGAUGUGACUGGUAGAUUGGAGCAAUCUCAGCGAGAUGUUACAUGGUGCCAUGUGGGUUCUACCAGAAAAAUGUUUUAUUACAUUCAGUGCUUGGUUUUUGUAAUACAGUAUUGAUAUUUAUAACAUUUCUACGAUGCUUUACUUUAUGCAUGUAAUUUUGAGAAGUUUAUUGCAAAUUGUUUAUGGCCCAUAUAAAAUUAGCAUCAUGCAUUUGUGUGAAGUUAAUACUUGUACAUAUAAAUGUCUAGUUUGCUGGCCAGCUGAGGAUGAUGAUGCAGCCAAGAGCUGUGAAAGUGGUGGAUCAAAUGAGGUUUGUGGCCGGGGCGGAUGACCAGUGAAGAUGUGGAAGAACAGGAAGUGUGAGGUGGUUCCUGGAGCUUAUGGGAUUGUAGCAAAUUUAGAAAUAUGAUAAACGAAUGAUACACCAACCAUUAUGCCUUGGUUGGAAUAAUGACUAAAGCCAUGAUGAUGAGUCAAUUGCACUAAAGUGCUCUGAUAUGCGAGUAUGUAUUCAUUUCAUUAGUAAACAUUUUUUGAGUUGGGACAUUGGGUUUCUAAACAUGAAACCAACAUUCCUCAAGUUUAUUUGUAACCAUUUGUAAUUGGAGGAAUAGUUAAUAUUGCUUUUAUUUUUUCUAAAAGACUUAACACCAGGGGUGUGUAAAUAUUUUUAAGAAGCAGAUUCCAAAAAAAUCUGUUCAUUAAAGCCAAACUUAGAGAGCCAGUUAAACAAAUUUGAUAAUAUAUAGGUGCCUUCAUAGAUUUGGACAUUCAGUACUAGUUAAUCUACUAGUUUCCUUUUAAUUUUGAUUUGUAUAAGAUAUUCCUAUGUAAAUGCACAUUCUAAACAAUCCCAGCACAUUUGUUGCCACAUUGUUUGAUGUAUAGAGCUUUGAUAAUUGGCUCAGCCUUGGGUUACACACUAUAGGUAAAAAUAAGGUUUAGCUUAAUAUAAUUUCUUGCCAUUUUUUGUGCUGCAAUUUUGGAUUAUAUUUUCUGAUGCUAUUUAGCUUAAUUUUAAUGAAAGACAUUAUCACACCUUCCCACUCGUACUACCAAUAUGCUCAAACAAAUUAGUACUGCACUAAACUUAAAUUAAUUUUAUAUAAUUUGAUGGGGAGUGAGUAGGGGUAGGGUAGCAAUUUUGUAUACUGCACUCGUCUAUAAGUAUGGAGGGGGACCAUGUUACCUCUAUCCGUCCGUAGGCACUCCUUGGUUAAAUUGUUCCUUGGUCAGCUUCGCUGAAAUAUUGUGUUCAGAAAACAACCCCUUUAUCUAUCUAUUCACAGCAUGUAAAAAAUAAGUUUGGGGGAGUAUACAUUUUACAGUUAGUAUACAUUUCCACAAGGCUUUAGGCACAUCAGAAUGAUAUCAAACUUAACAUAAAUGUGAGGGUAAUUUAAGGUUUGGCUUUAGGCCUUUUAAGUACAGUAUUGCAUCUUUCAUCCGCAGCUAAUAUUAUAAUUCAUGGUCUCUAUUUGAAAAGUCUGAGAAUUACAUUUUGAUACUGGCUGAUUCUGUUUAUUGCAAUUUUAUUAUUCUCUAAAGGAACUGCAGAUCAAUUUCAUGUAUACAUAUUCUGGGUAAGAAACAAUAAAACAUCUUCAAUAUCUGAAGUAUAGUAUAAUUUUAUUAUUCACAAAAUCCAUUUUUGUCUGUAUAUAAAACAAAAUUCCAUAAUAUUUUACAAUAAAUGUACUAGACAUUAAUUAAUUUACAGUAUUAAUUGAAAUUAAAUAAUUAUUGUUAGUGUUAAAAUACCUUCUUAACGAAUUAUAACUUUUUUCUCUAAAUUGAGUUUUGUUUAAAACUGUAUCACAUGUAUACUAUGUAAUAAAUUCACAAUUGAUUUGGUAAGAAUGAUAGUACCUUACUUGAAAAUCGGCAUCUAAUGUAGUCACUAGAUGCAUUAUCCUUGAAAUGUAAUUGUAUCUGUAGAUAUUAGUGUAUUUUUCAAAAAAUUGGGCGAGUGAUUUAAAGUGUAAGAGAAGAUGGUGUGCAAGAUGGAACUGGUUGACAAGUGCAUCAUGGUAAUUAAUGAGGUUUUGAGUUCAAGAAAUGUGUAAUUGAUUUUUCAGUUUUGAUUGCCAAAGAUCCAUCCUACCAGAUGAAAUCAAAUGGUUACAAAUAUUAGUAUUACCUGAGACAUUUUUUCCUAAAAAAAAAAGUCUAUGCGUAUUGCAUCAUUGUUUUAGUACUUUCUCUUAAAGUAGCUACAGCAAUGGAUAUAAUAUAUAUACGGUAUCAGUACUAGUUUGUCCUGGAAUUAAACAUAUGUUAGACAAAGUAAGGUAUAUUAUUCCUGUCCAUAAUAUUUGAGACAAUACAUUUAACAAAUGUUGUAUGCUUCUUGGCUUGCUUAUUGACCAAGAAAUAUAUAUUUCAGUGCCAAUAGUCAAGAAAUUGCAAAAUUUGUGCUAUCAUUUACAGUGUUAGGUAUAAAAUAUUUAAAUUAGUGUCUUCGGUAUGAUUUAAUUAAAAAGUGUGUAAAAUAUUGUCAUGUUAUGGUGUGAAAACGUUUGACAGCUCUGAAAGAUUUAAAUAAUAGGCCAUUCAUUAAACUGGGCAAGUGUUUGAAAAUUCUGAUAUUUAUUGACAGUCUGUCAUUUCACAAAGUAUUUGCAUUAAUGUUGUACAGUAUUCACUUGCCGAGUGUAUUAACUUCCUCUGCAAAUUUGCCUAGUUAUCACUUAAUCAAUCUGGGCACAAGUUUGAAGGUAAAGGAAAAAGUUGUAUCAUUUAUUAACAAUUAAUGUAUAUUUAUACACACAAUAUUUGUUGGGGUGGGGAGGGAAGUGUAGAGCAUAAUCCAGUCAAAGCCAUUUGGCCAUUUCAUAAAUCGCCUGUUUUCUUAAUAUGCUUUUCCUGCCACUGAAUGGGUUGCAACCCAUUGCUCUUGCAUAGUGUGUAGGUACGGUAUAUUGAAAAUUAGUCUCCAUACAUGGGCAUAAUUUCAAACAUAAUUAAGCGCACGAUAAUCUCAAGAACUCCAUUAACAAAUGUUCCUAAACUUAGGUUUUAUAUUUACAUUUAAUUAUAUUUAUUUGUACUAUUUUCUGACAUAAUGACAAUUGUAAGCACAUUGUUAAAUAUAUGCAUUGGAUAGAGCUCGAUUAAUAAGGUUAGGCUUAUGUAAUAGGAAAUUGGGGUUUAGUGUCGGGCAUAAGUAGAAGUGGAUUGGGUUAAAAGAAAAUAAAGUUUGGUUAACUGAGCACUAGAAGCAGCUGAAUAUACAGUACUGUAUUUGCAGUAACUGUUCUUUGCACCAGAGUUAAAAGCACAUCAAAUUUUGUGCUAUGGAAUUGGCUCGAAGGCUCAUUUUCUAUGAGCUGAAACUAUUGAGGUCAAUAGUGUUUUUUCCUCGUCAUUUCAUUCUAUUGAUACUGCUUGAUGGAAACAUGAUUAAAAUUCUAUUUUUGAAAUUGUUUCUCGAAUUACAUUUUAGUUUGUGCCUAAAGGGAAAGAAUGUAAUGGUGGUUCUUGUCAAUUCAGUGUGUAUAAGUGCACUACUUGCUUUUUUUCAGAUAGUUUUUUCUGGCAAAGAUUUGUCUUGCUCAAUGUUAUUGGAUGUCUUUUGAGAAAGCCUUAUAACUGUUUUUGGUGUUCUUGCACCAAUUUGGCAGGUGAACAAGAUAGGAAUUUUAUUAAAAUUUGUGAUUGUAAUUACCUACAAUAGUGUAGUAGGAGUGUUAGUGAAAUUAAUGUGAUACUCUUGUAUAUCCUUCAAUGAUAGAUUUUUUGACAUAAUCCAAAGUUUUCUACCAUAAUUCUUGUGAUACGUGUAAGUGGUUUAUCUAUAUUUAGAAAACUUGGCCAUGUGUGAAUAUUGUUUUUAAAUAUAUGCAUGUAUAUAAUAAUAGCAUAUAUUUUAUCAUUAUUUGAGAUUGUUGUAUAAUCAUCACGUAUAAAAGUGCAUGAUCUUUUUCUAAAGUUAUGGAUAAACUCUUGCAUACUUCAACCUAAUGGUGUCCUUCAGAUGUUCUGCUGUGAUUGUUACACCUUGGUAAUCAUUCUGUAUUAUAUUUGUCAUCCUGUAUUUAACAAAUACAGGUAUAUCUAGUCAGUGUGAACAUCAAGGCAGUUCUUUGUAAAUCAGUGCUUCGAUGCUGACGUCUCAUAUGUUGAGCUUGCUCCAGCAAUUGGAUUCUCUCAAGCAAUACUUAUUUGUGGUUUAAGCAUUACCACUGCAGAUAAAUAAAUUAUUUCUUGAGGUUGUGUACUUUAUCAUAUGCAUAUACACAAUAGUGAAAUGAAUACAAAGGAAAACAUUCUGGAAUACUAAAAUGUAGCAUACAACUGUUAAUGGAAUUGAAAGUAUUUUGUGAAUAAAUUUUUAUAAUAGCGAA